rnacentral:rRNA from 1 species
UACGAAGGGGGCUAGCGUUGCUCGGAAUCACUGGGCGUAAAGCGCACGUAGGCGGCUUUCUAAGUCAGGGGUGAAUCCUGGAGCUCAACUCCAGAACUGCCUUUGAUACUGGGGAGCUUGAGUCCGGAAGAGGUGAGUGGAACUCCGAGUGUAGAGGUGAAAUUCGUAGAUAUUCGGAAGAACACCAGUGGCGAAGGCGGCUCACUGGUCCGGUACUGACGCUGAUGUGCGAAAGCGUGGGAGCAAACAGG